rnacentral:rRNA from 1 species
CGAUUAAGCACUUUAAGCGAGGAGGAGGCUACUUUAGUUAAUACCUAGAGAUAGUGGACGUUACUCGCAGAAUAAGCACCGGCUAACUCUGUGCCAGCAGCCGCGGUAAUACAGAGGGUGCAAGCGUUAAUCGGAUUUACUGGGCGUAAAGCGCGCGUAGGCGGCUAAUUAAGUCAAAUGUGAAAUCCCCGAGCUUAACUUGGGAAUUGCAUUCGAUACUGGUUAGCUAGAGUGUGGGAGAGGAUGGUAGAAUUCCAGGUGUAGCGGUGAAAUGCGUAGAGAUCUGGAGGAAUACCGAUGGCGAAGGCAGCCAUCUGGCCUAACACUGACGCUGAGGUGCGAAAGCAUGGGGAGCAAACAGGAUUAGAUACCCUGGUAGUCCAUGCCGUAAACGAUGUCUACUAGCCGUUGGGGCCUUUGAGGCUUUAGUGGCGCAGCUAACGCGAUAAGUAGACCGCCUGGGGAGUACGGUCGCAAGACUAAAACUCAAAUGAAUUGACGGGGGCCCGCACAAGCGGUGGAGCAUGUGGUUUAAUUCGAUGCAACGCGAAGAACCUUACCUGGCCUUGACAUAGUAAGAACUUUCCAGAGAUGGAUUGGUGCCUUCGGGAACUUACAUACAGGUGCUGCAUGGCUGUCGUCAGCUCGUGUCGUGAGAUGUUGGGUUAAGUCCCGCAACGAGCGCAACCCUUUUCCUUAUUUGCCAGCGAGUAAUGUCGGGAACUUUAAGGAUACUGCCAGUGACAAACUGGAGGAAGGCGGGGACGACGUCAAGUCAUCAUGGCCCUUACGGCCAGGGCUACACACGUGCUACAAUGGUCGGUACAAAGGGUUGCUACCUAGCGAUAGGAUGCUAAUCUCAAAAAGCCGAUCGUAGUCCGGAUUGGAGUCUGCAACUCGACUCCAUGAAGUCGGAAUCGCUAGUAAUCGCGGAUCAGAAUGCCGCGGUGAAUACGUUCCCGGGCCUUGUACACACCGCCCGUCACACCAUGGGAGUUUGUUGCACCAGAAGUAGCUAGCCUAACUGCAAAGAGGGCGGUUACCACGGUGUGGCCGAUGACUGGGGUGAAGUCGUAACAAGGUAACC